ACAGACCACAGUAAUCAACAAACUCAGCCAAAAUGAGAAGAGAGGCUUUGACUGGAUUUAAUCCUCCAUCCACUGUGCUCAGUUUUUCUGUCGCACUGUGUCCGACUGACUAACGCUCCACUGUAUAAAGACUUCAUUGGCUCUGAACAGACAGCCAGAACAAUAAACAACGAAAAUAGAUACAAAUGCAUGCUCAGAAGAGAGUGGGCUAAAAGAUGAGCUGAGAACAAUACCCCCAUGGACAUAAAAACUGGAAAUAUUUUGUCUUUUUUCUUCAAACUCUUGGAUUAUCUCUUAAAAUACAGUUCUGUCUCCAAUUUCAUUUCGACAUUGUAUUUACAAUGUUUUCAUGUCAUGGAGCAUUUGACAAAUGGAGUUUUCUGCUGCUAUAACAUAUUUUGAUUUCAAGACUGUCCUGACUUGCCAUUAAAACAGAGGAAACAUGCUAAAGUAUUUUACCAGAAAGGAAUAACCUAAACAUUUGACUGUGACAUUUCUCCAUUUCUUUUAUUUUGUCAUGGCCCUGUAGAAGCCAGCUGCCAUGAAUCUUAUGAAUUCUGAUAGCAAUUUUUUUCAGAAUCAGUGGAAUUAACAAAUUCACAAUUCAUUCUUCAAACUUCAGCCGUGCCUCCCACCAACCCCUCCCACCAUCAGCCAUCCGACCAAUCAUGGGCAAGCCUCUUAGCCGUCCCGGGUGUUUCAGGAAGAGCUCCUGCUGCCUGGAGAAACAUGGAGCUGGGGAUGGGGGAGUGGGAGGGCGAGCUGGGGGAGUGGAUGGGGGAUAUGGAGAUGGCUAUGUACCCCAAAGGUCCAUCUACGAUACCAUGUGCAUCAAUCAACAGAUAGACAGCCAACAUCAUCAACCUGGAGGGUCCAUAAGGCGAGACUGUGGAGGCGAGGGGAGUUUUAGCUACUCUGCAAGUGGCUCCCUGAGAGUUAGCAGGUCUCCAGCUGACAUGUUCGAUCCGCAACCCCGCUCUUUAACUCCAAACCCCUCAUUUGUGCGGCGACUGGAUGAAAGAGUUAUCUAUGAUUCUUUGAAACUUGGGGGUCAGGAUGCCGAUGGUGAUGGCUGCCAUUCUCCAGGACGUUUCACUCGAUCAGUUUCUCCCUCUGUAUCUUCAUUCUCAGCACCGGGAGUGUCCUCCUCCUCAUCCAAGAAACAUCAUCAUCACCACCACCAUCACCAUGGAGACAGCACAAAGAGUAGAGAUGGCCGACAUUCCUGGAAAGUCUUGACACCUCCAAAACACCUAGAGUGUCUGGAGCUCACUACAACUGAAAUGAUGGACAGAGGAGGUGGAUAUCUGAAUCCAGGGCACUACCAUCCCCCUGGGGGCCAGUCCUCCUCCCUUACCUCCCCCCUUAUUUCCCCCUUCUCUGGAUCACCUCUCUCUUCGGGUUACCAUACGCCAGUCUUUUUCUCCCCUGCCAAACCUCGUCCCAGUCAGACUCAGAGUUUGCGCUGUUCCCCUCCCCACAUCAUCCAGCCACGGCAUUACUCUCAAACCCAGAGCCUCAGGCUAUCACCGCCCCAUGAGCUUAGGCGAUCCCCCUACCGUUCCCCCCUAGUCCAACUGUCUGCUCAUGACCUUGAACAGGACCUCAGGGAUCGAGGAGGAGGAUGGGGCCGCAGUGAGCGAGAAAGAGAAUGGGAGAGGGAGAGGGAAAGGGAGAUGGAGAGAGGAUGGGCCCAGCGAGAGUGGGAAAGAGAGAGGGAGAGAGGGCGCCUCGAGAGAGAGAGGGCGAGAGAAAGGGAGAGGAGAGAAACAUCAACUUUUGGGACCUUCGGGUAUGGUCGACCAGUUCCUCUGCGUUCAGACAGAGACUCAGUGUUUUUAGAGCCCGACCAGGACACAACACCCCUGUUGCUCCCUCAGCCCUCACCUUCACCCUCCCCCUGUGCUGCUCCCAGAAUGGGCACUGGUGCUGUAGGAAGGAAUAGAGCGGGGUCAAAGGUUGGCCCUGAUAGUGUGGGUGGGGGAAUGGUUUCUAAGUUUGACAAUGGGAGUGUGGGUUUGGUGUUAGUUGACAGCAGAUCUGGUUGUGGGCCAAGGUUAGUUAGUGAAGUUGGAGCUGGAAACAUAGCAGAGGUUGAUAUUAGGGCUGGAAUACAAGAACACCACAGAUCUGAAAGUUGGAACAAAUAUGAUAAUGGAUCUAGAGCUAGCAUUAUAAAUGGGUCUGAAACAAGAAAAGGAUCCCAGGUGAAAACAAGACCAGGGGGGCGGGAUUUGGAAGGGAAAGUGCAGUCUGGUGUGGAGAAAAAAAAUAUGGCUCCUUGUGUGACUAAGGAGGGACAUAGGGGAAGUACAAGGAGUGGGGAAAAAAGUGGAAGGAUCAUUGUUAAACCAGAACGUAUUGAUGAGGCUAUACCUUCAACAAUGAGUGAAAGUGAGAACAAGGUUGGGCAUGUUGAUAAAGUUGGGAUUGUAACUGGAAGUGGUCCAAAGCCAGACUUUGAUGUAGAGGUUGAAACUAAAGCUAGUUCAAGACAGGUGGAGAACAGAAGUGGAGCAGACACUGGAAGUGUAGCUGAGGUUAAGAAUGAAGUUGGUUCAGCGAUAGAGUCUAGAGUAGAAGCUAACGUUGAGACAGAGGUAAAGAUUGCUCCUACACCUGCACCUGAGGCUGUGCCAGAAGCUGGGGUUGGUAAUAAGACAGGGACAAGGAGUAAUAAUGAGACUGUAGUUGCCUGUGAUAGCUGGAGCAGCAACAAGACGACAGAUAAAGCUCAGAUAAGUAUUGGGGCUGGGGAUAAAAUUGAUUCUGCCCCUGCAGAUCAGGCUGGGAAAAUGACUUUGGACAAAAUUGAUUCUAGCCAUGUAGAGAAAGGUUCCAGAUCCAAUAAGUCCAAAUCAUCCAAGUCCAGCUCCAGGAAUCGACCUGGCACCGCCACAGGGCUCCGACCAGGUGUAGUCAGCCCUCGACUAAGCAGAGGGCUUGGGGACCUUGAGACAACAUGCUCUACUGAGGGCAUUGAGUCCACCUGGCCUCGCCGAAUCAUUGUCAGAAAAAGGACUGUUCGGCAAGGUGGGGCAGUCCACAACCUCCCUAUUCUCCCUCCACUACCCUCUGUUCUAUCAGCAUUGGAGAAGAGGCGUCCGUUUGCCCUUCUCCAACCACAUCUAGGACACUUCUCAGAGAACCCGCUAACAAAUAUAAUGACUGCUAUAAGUAUGGUAGGACGAAGCUCACUUAAAGAACCCUCCCAUCCAGAACCAGGGCAGGGUAUCGCUUUGGUGGGCAGGGCUUCACUGAAGGAGCAGAACUUGGAACACUGGAGAGUCUGCAGAGAACAAGAAGAACCAAGGAGAUCCAGAAGCAAAGAGAAAAAAGGUGAGCCGAUCAAGGAGAAGAUGGAGAGGGAGGAGAGGAAGGAAAAGGAAGAGAAGAGAGAAAAGGAGGGGAGAGGAGAAAAAGACAAAAAGGAGGAGAGAUUGGAUAAGGAGAAAGUGAGGGUUACUGUUAGUCGCUGGGAGGUAGAGGAAUUCAAGCAAGAAAAUUCUGUGAGAAAUGUUGAGGGGAAAGUGCAAGAGGAUAAAAAAAAACAGGAAGAAGUGAAAAAGGAAAGUUGUGAAGAAAUGAAGUCUGAAAAGGGAGAGGAGAUAGAAAUGAUAAACAAGGAUGGAGAACAAGAGUUGCAUGGACAAGAGUUGGAGGAGGUCGUUGCUAUAUUAAAGACAGAAAAAGGUCAGUGUGAGGGAGAGGAAGGAGGGAUAUUUGGAGAUGACGGGGGGAUGGAGAGUUGGGAUGCUGUCCUUGAGAUGGUCACCACAUUAUGGGAUGAUGGCUGGGAAAAGGGGGGAGGGGGAGCUGUAGGUGAUACAGAUUCCUUCUCAGGCUCCUUGCAACGCUGGCCUCUUCUCCGGCCUCCGAUCGGCUUUGGAGGCUCCCACCCCCCAUCCUCAGCAGCCUCAGAGCUCAGCUUGACAGAGUUAGAAAGAAGAGCCAGGGAACUGGAUUCUGACCUGGAACAUCUAGACCUGUCUCAGCCCCAGAGGGACACACAGGAUGUAUACCAAACGCUGCUUGAGCCACAGAGGGAACGAGCUGACAUGUAUCAAACACACCCUGGGCCACAGAGAGAGAAAGCUGCUCUAUUGACAGGAGUGGCAAGCAGAUCUCAGGUCAGUUUGGAGCUCAGCACUAUGGCCUCACCAGCUACAGACAUGGACAGAUCUCCUGUUGACUGGUCAACAAAACUUGCUGGGACUUACACUGCUGGCACAAGCUCCACUAAGGAGGACAACUCUCCAGACUCCAACCUUACGUUGGAGUCAGACUCCAGCGGCGUCUUCCUCUCCUUAUCCAAUCAGAGCCAGGAGGAGGCCGGCUCUGAUAGUGACCAGCCAAUCAGUGGCUCUGACCUAGGCAGCAGCAACACAUCACUGGAGAAGGACGGGGACGAUGGAGGGUUAAAAGAAUGGGGGAGGGAGGAGAGUGCAGAGCUGCAAUGGUGCUACCCAUCUCUCCUCAACACAGAGGACACAAGAGGAGAUGAGGAAAGACAGGAAGCAGAGUAUGGUAAGAUGGGAACAGUUUCCGUCAUAAGGACCAUGCUUGACCAUACAGACAUCAGGGACUCCAGAAAUGUAAAUGCCCCACAAUGUGGAGAAAUACCACCCAGAAAAAAAGUGACCCUCAUGGGAAGUGAUUCCCCCCUGCCAUUGUCUCCCUCAAAACAACCAAUCAAACAUGUUGUAGAUCCUAAUCAGAAGCCAAUCCGAAGCUCAGGUUUGGACUGUGGUGACUUAGAUCCUUUUGUUCAGUCGGACAGCUUUGUUUACCUUGCCGUGUCUGCAAGACCUGCCUCCCGGGGUGAAGUCACCACAGUGACAGAAGUUCCCACUCAUCAUAGAAAACAAGACAGUGUACCACAACAUUCAGAUUGCAUGAAACCAUGCUUGGACCAGUCAAAUACAGAACGGGACAACAAGCCAACUCACCCUGCCCCACAUAAACCAGAGGAAGGAGACUUUUUGUGCACUGACAGCUUUGUCUAUCUGGCUGCUCCAGCAUGCCUCCUUCUUGGCCCUGCAGGGACUACACCUUAUAGUGGCAGGGAGUCAGACUCGGAGAGUUCAGGAUCUGGCGCUGUAGAUGUGUCAGUACUGGGUUGUGGCUCGGUGGCAGUCGCUCUUGCAGAAUCUCUGCUGCUGCAAACAAGUCUGCUGGCAUGGCACGGCCUAAGCGGCUGCCUACUGAACUGGGCUGGGACUUGUUUGGAGAAACAACUGAGCCUGAUGUGCUGA
rnacentral:lncRNA from 1 species